rnacentral:rRNA from 1 species
GACGAACGCUGGCGGCAUGCCUAAUACAUGCAAGUCGAACGCUGAAGCACUCUGCUUGCAGAGUGCGGAUGAGUGGCGAACGGGUGAGUAACACGUGGGAAAUCUGCCUAGGAGUGGGGGAUAACAUUCGGAAACGGAUGCUAAUACCGCAUAUCUUUUUGAACCGCAUGGUUCUUAAACGAAAGACGGCUUCGGCUGUCGCUCUUAGAUGAUCCCGCGGCGUAUUAGUUAGUUGGUGGGGUAAAGGCCUACCAAGACCAUGAUACGUAGCCGACCUGAGAGGGUGAUCGGCCACACUGGGACUGAGACACGGCCCAGACUCCUACGGGAGGCAGCAGUAGGGAAUCUUCCACAAUGGGUGAAAACCUGAUGGAGCAAUGCCGCGUGAAUGAAGAAGGUCUUCGGAUCGUAAAGUUCUGUUAUUAGAGAAGAACAAGUCAAGGAGUAACUGUCUUGACUUUGACGGUACCUAACCAGAAAGUCACGGCUAACUACGUG